rnacentral:tRNA from 1 species
UUGCGGAGUAGAGCAGUUUGGUAGCUCGUCGGGCUCAUAACCCGAAGGCCAGAGGUUCAAAUCCCCUCUCCGCUAU